rnacentral:rRNA from 1 species
CCUACGGGAGGCAGCAGUGGGGAAUUUUGGACAAUGGGCGCAAGCCUGAUCCAGCAAUGCCGCGUGAGUGAAGAAGGCCUUCGGGUUGUAAAGCUCUUUUGUCAGGGAAGAAACGGUGGGGGCUAAUAUCCCCUGCUAAUGACGGUACCUGAAGAAUAAGCACCGGCUAACUACGUGCCAGCAGCCGCGGUAAUACGUAGGGUGCAAGCGUUAAUCGGAAUUACUGGGCGUAAAGCGUGCGCAGGCGGUUUUGUAAGUUUGUCGUGAAAUCCCCGGGCUCAACCUGGGAAUGGCGAUGAAGACUGCAAGGCUAGAAUCUGGCAGAGGGGGGUAGAAUUCCACGUGUAGCAGUGAAAUGCGUAGAGAUGUGGAGGAACACCGAUGGCGAAGGCAGCCCCCUGGGUCAAGAUUGACGCUCAUGCACGAAAGCGUGGGGAGCAAAACAGGUAUUAGACUACCCGUGGUACGUCCACGACCCUAAACGAUGUCUACUAGUUGUACGGGUUUUAAUUAACGUUGGUAACGCAGCUACGACGUGAAGUAGACCGCCGUCGGGUAGGUACGGUCGCGAGUAAGUUAAACGUUAAAGUUAAAGUUAGUAGGAGUUGAGAGNGCGACGGACGACGACGAGGGAGGAGG